CCAGCACAGCCCAGCCCGGCCCGGCCCAGCACAGCCCAGCCCUGCCUGACUUCCCUGGCCCGCGGUGCCGCCAUGCCGCGGUACUGCGCCGCCACCCGCUGCAAGAACCGCGGCGGCCAGAGCGCCAAGGACCAACGCAAGCUCAGCUUCUACCCAUUUCCACUUCAUGAUAAAGAGAGACUUGAGAAAUGGUUGCGGAACAUGAAGCGAGAUUCAUGGACUCCAAGUAAGCACCAGCUCCUCUGCAGUGACCACUUUACCCCCGAUUCCCUGGAUGUGCGGUGGGGGAUACGGUACUUGAAAAACACUGCUGUGCCAACUAUUUUCUCUUCCUCAGAUGACGAGGAAAAAGAUUCUUCUCAGAACAGUUCGCAGCAGGUACAGAAAAAAGACCAGGAAGAAACAAAUGUUGUGUCAGAGAAAGUAUCUGUACCACUUGAACUUUGUACACCAAAGAAUUCUGUAAUUGCACGAAAUGUAGAGGAAAAAGCAGAAGUGGUUUACUCAACUGCACUGAGUGAACCUUUGCAAAUUCAAAACCUGCAGUUUCCAUAUGAAGGUGGCUUCCAGGCAGACAGUGCCGUUCUUGCUAGUUCAUCUAAGCAGUACAUGCAUCAGCCUAAUCCUAUUCUAAUGACAGCAGCAGUCCAGAGCGUGGAGGCUACCAGUGUUCAUACUUCUGUAGAGGAUUCAGGAGGUUGUACAGCUACAGUCCUGCAAUUUACAGACCCUGAGUACUUGAAUUCAUCUCUGAAACUGAACAGUGCUUUAGGGUCGGUUACUGACUAUGCAGUUGAAAAUUCUGUCCCUCACAUGGUCUGUUCUGGUGAAGCGCAGACAAGUGAAGAUGCGGUUUUACUGAGUACACUCACACAAACUAUUGAACAGUUCAGUGGAAGUGAAGAGUCUGUAAUUGCUAUUAUAAUGCCAGCUGAGAGUCCAGAAGAGCCUGAAAGAGUAAAUACUUCUUUCCUGCCUGUUAAGGAAGAGUUUCUUGACAUAGAGGAGACAGAAGUGAUUGAACAUGACGGAAACGAAAUACUGCAGACUGAGCAUUCAUACUGCAGACAAGACAUAGACAGAGAUCACCUUUGGCAAAAAAUUUCAAAACUCCACUCUAAGGUAACUUUACUUGAAAUGCAAGAGGUAAAAACUUUGGGAAGACUCAGGUCCUUGGAAGCUCUUAUUAGACAAUUGAAGCAAGAAAACGUGCUUUCUGAAGAAAAGCUCAAGUUGGUAGAAAACUACUUUACGACACUUGAAGUGACUAUGAUACAGUAAAGGCUUUCAGUUGAUGGUUCUCAAAUAUCUUUUUAACCUCUUUGACUGUACUUUUGGACAAAUUAACUUUUUUUCCAGUUGUGGUGUUUUAAACAUCUAAUGAAAAUCAUGUGAAUAGCAUUCUUUAAAAUGUAAAAUCAAACAAAGCUAAGUGGUAGAAUGUUGUCUAUAAAACAUGACAGGCAGGUAAAAUUAAAAAAAAAAAAAAACUGAAUUUGGCGAAAUUUUCUUAAAUAUGUGAAUCAAGACAGUAAAAGAUAAUUUAACCCUUUCUUAGCUGCAGGCUUCUCUGAAACGUGCAGUGCCUGCACUGGGGACAGCAGUAGAAUGGACAGAAUAAGCAUAUAGGAUGAAGCAUAUAUAAGCAUAUAUGAUAGCAUAUAUACCUACAUAUAUGCAUUGUCCAGUGAGGUCAAAAUUGCUCUUCAGUUUUCUGCUCACCUAACAUUUGUUCUGAUAGUUUUUUGUACACUUUGAUCUUAUUAAAAUUGUUUCUGCAUAAAGGGUGUUUAGUUUGUUUCUAGAAACAAAAAUUCUCAUAAGAAUAUGGUUCCAGUGGACAGGCGCACAUCUCAUUUUUAAUUUUUUUUGUUAUGAUUCAGCUCAAGUGGAAAGCAAUCUUAAUCACAGAUGUAUUUGCUAGUUAGUAAAAGGGAAAGCUCUAUUUAGUGAAUGCUGUCUGCAUUGAUUCUGUUACAGCAUACAGCUUGGCAAUGCAUAUACCCUUAAUAAUACACCGAAGGAAACAAUGUUCUGCAGAGCAGGUUGCUAGUGAAAGUACCAGAAUUUUACUUUGCAAGAAACAGAAUUACAAAACGAGAAAUUUACUCCCUUUUCCUGAUUUUAUUAACUAUUUCUAAUGCAUGGGUUAUCACUAUAGUAGACACAUACUAUAAUUCAUUUCAAGGAAAAUUAAUUUGCUUAAAUACUUUCUCCUUAUUCUGUCAGAGUGCCUUGCUGUAUGCUCCAGUACAGUGAAAAAGUCCUAGAUCUUCUGAUUCCUGACUUGACAUCAUAGCUGUGCUAGGUGAUCCUUGUCACACCCCUUCCGGCUGAACUCUUCUAGUGUAUUAUAUUCCACAACCAUUAGAUUGCUUGAGAAUGUGUUUUUCAUUAUUCAAAAUUGUGUCAUCCCCACCACCACAAGUUCAGUCUAGGAUUGAAGCAGAUGGGUUCCUUUUCAAUGUUAUUUAGAAAAGUCUUGUACAUGCUUUCUAAGCUGUUCUUUUAAUCUUUUCAUAAGGAAUUGAGAAUCAGUUUACACUAGCUACAAAGCCAGCCUCCAACUAGAUAAUAAGUUCCAAUUUCAAAAUGUUUGAGACUUGAAACGUCGUAAAGGGCAGAAGUUGGGUUGCUCAAGCACAGUGCUGUGGGAGGUUAGUCUGCAUUAGUAAUCACUGGAUUAGGCUUGCUUUGUCCUGCAACUUGUUAACUUCUUUCAGACUUGAAGCACAGGCUGUGCUUGGUAAAAUUGCUAAAGGACAAAGGUCACUUACAAUAUGGUGAGUUAUUUACCAUGUCUCUGACUCACUCAUUUUGCCCUCCCUGGAACAAGAGAACAUUCCUGUUCUGCUUUGUCUGUUAUGAAAUCACAAGGGCUGUUAUGUAUACUGUAGAAACAUUGCUGCCAUAUCUGAUCCUGUCUUGGGAGCAUUGUCCAGGUGGCCUCUCUGAACUGCACAUUUUGUAAUGUUUUACAAAAUGCAAGAUGCUUGGCCAGAGGCAGGAAGUGGCAUGCCACAGCUGACAGUCCGUGCCAGUGGCCUGGAGCCACACCACACACCCCAGGCACACUUCUUCCUCACAACCAGCCCCUCAAAGGGACAGCAGUAGCUGCGAAGAGGAGGUGACACAACUUACACAGACUCAGGUCUGGGAAGAUGCUACAAAUGCUGAGAGAGAGAGCUGAUACCUUUGUCACCUGACAGGGCGCAAUAACAAAGCACUCAAGCACUGUACUCAUGAAAUGUAUGCAGACCUGAAAUAACAGAACUGGCCUCAGCAUACUCAGUGCUCCCUCUGAGAAAUGCUACUCCUUCUUCUCCCUCAAAUAUAUCAGAGCCUGCAUGAAAUGAAAUUCCCAGUGAAGUCAGGAUGGCCCAGAGCUGCCUCCCAGCCAGCUGUGAUCCCUUCUUGUUGCAAAGGGCUUCAGAGCGACCCCAGUGAAGGACAAAUAUUUGCUCUCUGUCAAGUCUAUUGUCACAUCCAAUGUUGAAAAAGGUCACUGUAAGGUAGCUGCCAAAGGAAGAAAUGCAAACCUUCCCUUCCAGAGAGAAAACAUUUGAAACACAAAACCAGUAACCUACCACAAAUACCAUAAGUAAAAUGCAGCUCUAUAAGAACAUGAAUCCUGGCAAAGAUGACCCACAUGCCUUAUACCAUUUGCAAGCUCCAUUAUUCCUUUAUUGCCAACUGCUUACUUUUAGAACAGCUUCACCAAAUCACACAUACAACAUGCCUUUGGCAUCACACUUUGUCUUUAUUCAAAACUCCUAAGUGGUCAAUAUUGUUCUUCUAAAGAUAAUAGUUUGUAAUAAAUAUUCAGAUGAUUUAAUUCCAUGAA